rnacentral:lncRNA from 1 species
CUGCUUCAGAUUCCCAGUCAUAAUGUAUAGUCACACGCCUUGGUCGGGUUUGGCUCCCAGAACCCAGGCUCCGGCGCUUUAAUUUUCCCGCACUCCCUGUCUGUACAGCCAGACGCUCCAACCAGAGGACAAUUCUUAAAGCAAGCAUGAAGAGCAAGAAAACAGGGCAAGAGUUCUGGAGGCCUCGAUGAGAUCUUUCGCUCCACCGCUUGGGUGGCUCCAGAACCCAGCAGCCGAUGCUCUGCAGCAGGUGGGGACCCGCCUGCGCCCUCGGGACGUCCCCACAGUGUCAAUGUACUCCUACCAGUCCUCGAGGCCACCCCCGCCUGAGCGGGAGGCACAGCAGUUCAGCAAACCUACCUUCGGGGUCAGGGCGCGGGCACCGAGCUCUGAGAGUGUGCAAACUGAAUCUUGCUUUCGGGAGAGACUGAUCUGUCUCUCUGACUUUUUUUUUUUUUUUUUUUUUAAUCUCCUUCGGAGCUCAGCCCCCAAAACCACAAACUUCACUUCCUGAGCGUUAGAGGCGCUCACUAGCCUUCUCAACCCCAGCCCCAUCCCCCAGUGGGACAGCGGGCCACGAGCCUCCUUUGCGCAAGGGGUCAGGAGGUGACAGGAAGGGGGUAUCCUUGCCAACUCCUUGGGCACCCCUGAGCAGCCCCCAAUUUGUUUGUCUGUGGGAUCGCGGGGCUAUCUAUAGAGUCCCCGGGAUGUCUGAGAAAUCAGCACUAGAAAUGACUAGAAAGAAAAUCGAAGUAUUCUUGGCUCCUGGAGACUUCCGCAGCGAGAAGUCACAGAUUCAGGACACAGAUUGACAGGAGCUGCGGGCGCUGGUAGCAGGCAGCUCGCACGGCUCCCGUGGGCACCCCAAUCCUGUCGACUGUUUGGGCAGCAUCGCCCCGAUCGCGGCCGUGAAUCACCGGACCCCGGUGCCACCGGCCUGGAGUCCGGCCACUGGCCACCGCGUCCGCAGAAAGAAACCUGCGCCUCGGGCCCCGAAAUAACUUGUUGUGGAAACACUUGAGGAUAAAUACGCCCAACGAAGCUGAAAAUACCUUGACACCCAAUCCCAGAGGUUUGCUCAUUUCCCUUCGGAUUUAGGUAACGGUUAAAUUUGGAAGAGGUGGGCGAGCGUCGAGCCCAGCGAACAAGGGCCGGGCUGGUGGCGCGUCCCGCGGGCGCCGGCGGCAUCGGUGGGCGCGUCCUCCCCACCCGGCCCCCGCCUCGCGCUCGCUUCCGGUGGUCGGAGCUGGGAAAUUAAAGGCGACUUCGGAGCUGCGGCUCAGCUGAGUCUUGCUUGGUCCAGGUUGGGGUGGGGUGGGAGGCGUGGCGCCUGGGGCUGCAGCAGGGUACUAGGCCAUGUGGACUUUUGGAGUCAUUGCAAAAUGAAGGCUUCAGAAUAAUGCCCACCGUGGUCUUGCCCUCAAUGGAGGCGUGGGAUUAACACUAUUGAUGGCAGGGCGGGGAGAGGAGCUCAAACCUCACUCUUCUGCAAAUAAAAAAUCCAACCACU